GAAUGGACCUCAAAGAUCAUCGAGUUCCAACCCCCUGCCAUGGGCAGGGUUACCAACCACUAAAUCAGGCACCAGCUCAGGCUACCCAGGGCUCCAUCCAACCUGAUCUCGAACACCUCCAGUGAUGAUCCACAACUUCUCUGGGCAGCCUGUGCCAGUAACUCACUAGCCUCUCAAUAAAAAGCUACCCCAACUUCUAAUCUAAGUCUUCCCACUUUUAUUUUAAAAUUGUUCCCCCUUGUCCUAUCACUAUCUACCCAUGUAAAUGAUGAGAAUGGUUAGGCAGACUGACCACCUCUGAUCAUCCCUGCUUGCAGUCCACUGAAUUUAGCCCAUGAGGGUUGAAGCAGGGCCUGCUGCUGAGAAAAACCCACCACCACCUGAAGAAAGGGCAAUUAAAGCUAUCACUUGGUGUGGGAAAACAAGAAGGACUGUACAGAGCAGCAGCUGUGGAGCAAGAUAAACAGCAUAAGAACCAAGGACACCUCUAGAAGAAGGAACAGCUUGCGGCUCUGAUUGGAUAAGCGCCCGCAUGAACGGUUGAAGAAGUGUUUGUGGAAUGUUCUGUUGACAUAUAGGAGUGAUUCUGAAAGCUAGGAAGAGAAAACUUGUGAAGAUAUAUAAGUGAUGUGAGAACUUGUAAUAAACAAUUUGGAUCAUUCUCAUCUGAGUCCAUGCAUCAGAUGCAGCAACUUGGCUUUUCUCUUUCUGAUUGGCAGAUAGAUGAAGACAAGGAGAGCUGUGCCACUGUACAGUGUCCAAGAGGUACUUCACAGAAAAAUUGAGAGGAUGAUCUUAAGAAAAGUCUGUCCUAUUCUGGGAAACUCAGAGAAGACAACUCAGUUUUAAAGAGAAAGAAGAAAAAGAUAAUUGCAAAGCUUCCGUGGAGUCCAAGAGUGGGAAAACGUGUUCAGCAGGAGCAGUACAAGCACUGCAUGAGUGUGUCUCAAGAGCACAGGGAGAAAAGAAAGCAAAACUCAACACAUCAUCUCUUCUAUCAAGAUCCAACGCACCAUCCCACUAGUACUGGCACUAAAUGUAAAAUCUAUUUUUCCUCCAAAAAGCAGCCUAAUUGAUGCACAGGAGCGUGAGCAUAUUAGCAGGACAGGGAAGCAAUGUGGGUCUUUGUGUGCGUAGACAUCAAUGGGGGCAGAAGGAGGUGGGCUGGGCGCAAUGUCCCUCUGGAUGUUAACA
rnacentral:lncRNA from 1 species